AGGACCCAGAGGGAGCGGAGCACGCGCCUUCGGGAAUCUUCGGUGCGCCAAGUCUGUUCGCCGCCGGGGUCUAUCACCCCCGCCCCUCGCCUCUGCCCGUGAGCGUCAGCUGGCUUGGCUUUUUCAGAGGAAACAGAGACUCUCAGACAUGAAUACUGUGACACUGACCACCAGGCCAACUUAACAUCAGCAGAUAUCCUGUCUCAGAUGAAGAGGUAUGUUUGGUUUAUUUCUUUUUUUUUUUUUUUCUAUCUACAGAUGAUCCAAUAUAUGUCCUAGAUCCCAUUCAUUCUGCCUCCUCUGGGGCCUUAUUUCAUCAUUUAACCCUCCCUUUUUAUCUUCAGUAUACCCUUUCCCCACCUCCCUCCCCUGGCUUUAUCUGCCCUAUCCAA
rnacentral:antisense_RNA from 1 species